rnacentral:lncRNA from 1 species
AACUGGAAGAGCGGCGGUCUGCAGCCCUCCCCUCAUACCCUUGCCCCCGCGACCCGGCCCCUUCUCAAGCCCUCUGCACGGUACCUGUCCCCAGGACUCUCUGUUCUCUUUCCCGCUGCAGCAUGGGCGGUACUACCGGGUCUCAGAUGGCAGCGCGGGGGCGACGACCCCGGGGCUGGGGAUGAGGGGAAACCUGGCCUAGCGGGCAUGCAGCGCCUUGUCAUGUCGGCGCCGCUGGCGACGGCGGCAUGAGCCGUGGCUGGAGAAGUUGGGUGCGUGGUUGCCGUCUUGCUGCUGGGACUCCGGGAGGCUGUCGGAGCAGAGGUGGGCGGCACCCCCUUCUCUCUUCAUGGCGGUUCUCUCUUCGGAAGUGACUCCGGCGUGAGCGGGAAGGAACCUGGGGACCAGUAAGGGGCGGGUCUUACUUCAUGAAUCACGUCUUGAUUGGCUGGCACGGUGGUCAUUUCGGUGGUGGCGCAAUAGGAAGCCGCAGCCUCUCUGGAGAAGGCGGGGCUUGGGGACGGGGGAGGAAGAAACCUCCCCCUCCCACCCCGUC